rnacentral:rRNA from 1 species
CGCCAGACUCCUACGGGAGGCAGCAGUGGGGAAUAUUGCACAAUGGGGGGAACCCUGAUGCAGCGACGCCGCGUGGGUGAAGGAGCACCUCGGUGCGUAAAGCCCUAUCGGCAGGGAAGAAAAGCGAACAGGUUCGCCUGGACGGUACCUGACUAAGAAGCCCCGGCUAACUACGUGCCAGCAGCCGCGGUAAUACGUAGGGGGCAAGCGUUAUCCGGAUUCACUGGGUGUAAAGGGAGCGUAGACGGCGACGCAAGUCUGGAGUGAAAGCCCGGGGCCCAACCCCGGGACUGCUCUGGAAACUGCGUCGCUGGAGUACGGGAGGGGCAGGCGGAAUUCCUGGUGUAGCGGUGAAAUGCGUAGAUAUCAGGAGGAACACCGGCGGCGAGGGCGGCCU